UACAGAGGGUGCGAGCGUUGUUCGGAAUUACUGGGCGUAAAGGGCGUGUAGGCGGUCAAGUAAGUGGGGUGUGAAACCCCCUCGGCUCACCCGAGGAUCUGCAUCCCAAACUGCUUGGCUUGAGUAUGGGAGAGGAUGAGGGAAUUCCUGGUGUAGCGGUGAAAUGCGUAGAUAUCAGGAGGAACACCGGUGGCGAAGGCGCUCAUCUGGCCCAAUACUGACGCUGAGGCGCGAAAGCUAGGGGAGCAAACGGG
rnacentral:rRNA from 1 species